ensembl:snoRNA SNORA74 Small nucleolar RNA SNORA74
CCCAGCUGUAGGAAAUUGUCCAGGUUGCCUUCUACCUAGGCAAGUGGUACACUGCUGGGAGAAAAGUAACCAAUAGCUAGCAGGCAUU